UCACGCGCGCUCUCUCCGAGGGAGUCGUCCUCCACUACGUCCCGAAGCUGGGCGCCGACGAGCUCCGGUGGUCCGGAUCAAGACCUCUCUCCAGUCUGCUCCUCGCGGCGGCGCAGGUACGAUUUGCCGUUUCUCUUCCGCGCCGCCGCGCUAGGGCUCUAUUGAGCCUCGCCGUCGAUGGUAACCGCCGAGUGGCGAAUGCGUGCUUGCCGCGCGCACGUAACACGGCCAGCCGAUCUGCUGCGAACUGGCGUCUCGCUCGCAUCUCCAAUCGAUCUCACGCCUAUACUGAGCCUAAGAGAAUGAUAAUUGUACAAUUCAUCAUCAUAUGCUUGACACCACAGCACCAGGUUUGGGAUCCAGUGGGACGCCCGAGUGCGGCUGGCCCGAGUGCAUGCGAGGCCAGCCUGCGCCGCCUUGGCGUCGACCACAUCUACCUCUACUACCAGCAUCACAUAGACACUACAAUCUCCAUCAAAUUGGUGAGCUCAAGAAUACGGUGGAGGAGGGCAAGUAAAGUACAUUAUGCUAUUCGAUGCAAGCCCAGACACCAUCUGGCGUGCUCUCAUGGUGCACCUGAUCUCCGUGCAGAUGAGUGGUCUAUGUGGGCUUGCUACAUCGAUACCGAUAUUGUGCAUCUGUGGUUCUAUAAUCGGUAGUCCUGAUUGAAUGAUCAUUUAAAGAAAUUUGUUCAUGUGUUUUGUGGACCGUAGAGAAUUGAGGGUUGGAAUUGUUCCAUAAAGCCCAAAUUGCCCGUCGGUUUUUCGGUGGAAGAGGGGUGACAGAACAAGUGGCUGCUAUAUCUUAUCUCAGUUGAUUUCUACGGCAGUCUGUUCUUUUUGGCUACUUAGACCUGAACCAUUUCGUAUUCUUGUUUUUUUCGAAAGAACAUACUCGCGUUUUUUGGGGAAAAAAUGCUGAAUAAGAACAAGCUUCUUUGUCUUAAAAUGGAAAAUUAGGUAUUAUACAUAUUUUUGUCUUAAAACGCCGGUUGUCCGCCGUUCCUUCGCUAACAUAGGAAAGUUGCAGAUUAUUAUCAGAUUACAUCACUGCUCUAUGCAGCAGUCUGCUAAAUCACAGAACUCCAAAUAAAUUGGAUUGAUCCGUUAAGUCUGAUGAUUUGAUCACGAAAAGUUGUUGUACACCUCAACCUAUUGGUACUUCUCAUGACCAGAUUAUGCACUACAAGUGAGCGAAGGAGAGCCAAUAUGAGUGUUCUGCAUUGCUCCCACAACCAUGUAAUCCCUGCAGUAGUGUUGUGUGUUCGUAACAUUGACAAAUCAAACACUGACAAGCAAGUUCAUUUCUAAUUCUAAAAGAUGCAUCUGAAUAUGCACACUGAAUUUCUGAUUAUGUGCAGGGUACAUAUAAUUUUCCUGCCUUCCCGCGUUAAUUUGACAUGAUACUACAGUUUGUGCAUCAGUUUUAGCCUUUACACAUUUCUUUCAGACAUUACACAGUUCAUACACUAAGAUGUAUGGUUUUAUCAUGUUUCCUGCAGGUUCAUAUGCUGGUUGUUUGUAUAGAGGUAUUCAAGUUGUUCUUUGUAAGGAGAAUCAUUGCCAGUUUGUAUGGUAGUUGGGUGAUUCCGUAGCUCUAUGUUUGUCUUCAGCAGUGGUUGAAUGAUGCCCUUAUGAUGUUUUUAUUCUGAUAUGUGAAUUACUACUUUCAGGAUCCUUUUGUGGCUUAUUUACAUCAGUGGAUAACAACAAUGUAGGAAGCAAGCAUAAGGUUUUGUUGAGGAUCCAAAAAGAUAGUGUUCCAUAUUGUCACUGAUGCAAUGAGUUUCCUGCAAUGACGAUGUAGUUUAUCUUAAAUCCACCAAGUCAUGCAACAAUUCGAAUUGAAACCUGGUUGGGUUGAAAUGGCUCCCUGCUGCUUUUAGUUCCAGAUUUACGCAGAAAGUGCAUUCGAGAUCUAAGAUACACUUCUGCACUGAAUCACUUGCACUCUUACUUGC